rnacentral:rRNA from 1 species
CCUACGGGAGGCAGCAGUGGGGAAUAUUGGACAAUGGGGGCAACCCUGAUCCAGCCAUGCCGCGUGUGUGAAGAAGGCCCUCGGGUUGUAAAGCACUUUCAGUGAGGAAGAACGCCUGGUGGUUAAUACCCAUCAGGAAAGACAUCACUCACAGAAGAAGCACCGGCUAACUCCGUGCCAGCAGCCGCGGUAAUACGGAGGGUGCGAGCGUUAAUCGGAAUUACUGGGCGUAAAGCGCGCGUAGGUGGCUUGAUAAGCCGGUUGUGAAAGCCCCGGGCUCAACCUGGGAACGGCAUCCGGAACUGUCAAGCUAGAGUGCAGGAGAGGAAGGUAGAAUUCCCGGUGUAGCGGUGAAAUGCGUAGAGAUCGGGAGGAAUACCAGUGGCGAUGGCGGCCUUCUGGACUGACACUGACACUGAGGUGCGAAAGCGUGGGUAGCAAACAGGAUUAGAUACCCCGGUAGUC